UAGCCUAGCAGAAGGACUGGUGCCAGGGC
rnacentral:piRNA from 1 species